rnacentral:rRNA from 1 species
AAAGCCUGAUCCAGCAAUGCCGCGUGUGUGAAGAAGGUCUUCGGAUCGUAAAGCACUUUUCGACAGGGACGAUGAUGACGGUACCUGUAGAGAAGCCCCGGCUAACUUCGUGCCAGCAGCCGCGGUAAUCGAAGGGGGCUAGCGUUACUCGGAAUUACUGGGCUAAAGGGCGCGUAGGCGGCUUGGCCAGUCAGGCGUGAAAUUCCUGGGCUUAACCUGGGGGACUGCGCUUGAUACUGCCAGGCUUGAGGCCGAGAGAGGGUGGUGGAAUUCCCAGUGUAGAGGUGAAAUUCGUAGAUAUUGGGAAGAACACCGGUGGCGAAGGCGACCACCUGGCUCGGUACUGACGCUGAGGCGCGACAGCGUGGGGAGCAAACAGGAUUAGAUACCCUGGUAGUCCACGCCGUAAACGAUGUGUGCUGGAUGUUGGGGUUCCUAGAAUCUCAGUGUCGUAGCUAACGCGGUAAGCACACCGCCUGGGGAGUACGGCCGCAAGGUUG